ensembl:lncRNA
UAGAUAGGCUAGACCAGAUAAAGAAUAGAGAAAGCUAGUAUUUUUUUUUUUUUUUUUUAAUGAAAACAAGCAGUGAGAAAACAAAUAGAGAGUGCAAGUGUUAGAGAGUCAUACAUAAGCAGGCUUUGUAAUAGGCUAAAUAGGGGGUUGAAUGUUCGUAAAAAAAAAAAAAAAAAAAAACCACCAAAUCUUAAACUACUUUAACUAUAAAACUUAAUCUUUUUAUACUUUUAUACUUAUUAUCACUGUAAAAGUGAUGUUUUAUCUGACUCACGUGCAGGGGUGGCGUUUUUCACCUGUGAAUGGGUCAUGGAACUACGAAAAAAACCUUAAAUUGAUUAUUUAAUAAUUUAAUUAGAUUUAAGUUAUUUAUUAACGAAAUCUUUGUUUAGCCUAUGUAAAUUCCGCGUGCUUUAAUGAGCGCGCGCUGAACAUUGGAGUAGCGUUCAUUCAGAUUCAAACACUGGAGCGGAGGGAGUUGCCAUGGAAACGGGGCGACCGACAACACUGGCAAGCUGCAAGCUCCGUUUCUUGCUGCUGUUUUCACUGCUUUCGGUAAGUUUAGUCCAUGAAAAUCGCACAAAUAUCAUAUGCCACUGUGCCUGACACUUCUUUUGCUUGUAUUUGACCCGCAUCUGUUGAAUUUACUCCAUAGAAAUGGUGUAGUGUUUUCGAACAAGUCCGUAAGCAUCUUAACCGUUAUCCGAGGAGGUAACGUAACGUAUGCUAACUCCAUAGACUGAGCUCUUUAUGAAAAGUUAGGGAUUUUAAUAACACAUUUAUGUGUAGAUGAGAGGCUUUGACAGUUCUGUAAAAGUUUUGCUGGUAAUUUUUCAAUGGAUGAUUGAAAAUAGGCUUUUUUAUUUAACCUAAAUAUACACUAAGGUUACCGUUAAUCGGUGACGUCAUUACAUCAGCGGUACAGUUCAAACGCAUUUUGAUCUCGUCUAAUGAUAAACAAAUAUUGAUAAAAACUGUUCAGGAUAUUUAUUAAAUACAUAUUCUUUAUCUUUUCUACAUUUCACCUGUGCUCUAGCUUGGUUCCUUGUGAUAAAACUGGCAUUGUAUACUGAAUAUUGUUGGCUCUGUGACAGAUUGCUUGUUAUAUUUCCAGAUUCUUUCGUGCUUGAUGUUCUUCUGCAUCCCAGAGUCUGAGCAAACCUCCUGUCCAACAACAUCUCCAAGACACACUGAACCAUACGGCUAGCAGCGACAAACACAUCGUGGACCAAAGAGGAAACUGACAACACACAGACAGACAAGACAGAGAUAGUUACUUCUGCCUCGCGUGUGAAGACUUCAGAAGAUGCCAGACCUCACAAAGAUUUCAGAUGAUGGCAACUAUAGAUGAACUUGCAAAGCUGCUUAAUAAUCCUUAUAUUGUAAUCAUUGCCCUAAAAGGACGGAUCUUAUCAGCAAAUCUACUUCACAGCACAUCAGUGAAAACAGUUGACAGUUACAGACGGGUGUGUUGGAUCAGGUUCAGAUCUGAAUUCUGAUGGUUUUCUGGGAUGACAGUUGAAGAGAUCAGCACAUCAGAUGUUGGUCUGGACAGCUGUACCUACAGUACACCACAGUGACCUCUCUGCUUUUGCAUGGAUGGCUGACUACUACCAUGUUCUGUGAAGGUAUUAUUAUAGCAAACCUGAGCACCUGUGACAGUGGAAUAGUUGUAAUGAAUAGUCACACAUGCAUAUUGGUAAAUUUAAAGUCACAGAUAAUUUUUUUUAGUACUAGCAAUAUUUUUAUUUUAAAUUUUUUACUAAUUCUCUCCAGCAAACACAACACAACAGUUACACCAUUUCAAAUUCUGAGGUGCACAAAUCCUAUUCUACAAAUAAGAGAACAACAGUAUAAAAGUGCUCAGUUUAGCCCCUUUCACACUGAGAUUCCAGAUGAUACACGGGUAAUUGUUCCCGGAUCGUUAGAUUUUGGUUCAUUCACACUGCCAGUGAGUGCGUUCACACACAACCGGUAAAGGUCCCAUAAUGAUACGAGACAUCAGGAUGUGAUGUGUAAUGUACGAGUUGAAAACGCUAGGCCGCCAAAAAACGGAAGAAGGAGAAGAAGCAAACCAGAAGUGUUUUCAAUACUUUAUAAACAUGGCAGCUGAUCAGCUACUGGGGCCAUUGUUGUUUAUGUAUAAAGCAUCUUCCACACAGAAAUUCCGGAAAAUACACCAAUAAUGUGUUCCAGGAUCCUCUAAUUGUGGUUCAUUCACACUGCCAGUAAUUUUCUGGAAUCUGUGUGUGCGUUCACACACAACCCAUAAAGAUCCCGUAAAGACACGUGACAUUACGAUGUGACGUGUUUUGUUUCACUUAAACUGGUGAACGAUCUCAGCUUCAGCACGGAUAGUGAGGAACUAACUGAUCUCUGCUUCAUUACAAUUUGCACAUUUUUUUCGUCACGAAUGUUGAUCUGCCUUCAAAACACCUGCUAAAAGAGUCGCAUGAUAACGUGCGUCAUCACUACGACACAUCCUUUACGCCAUUGGUUCUGGCUUUUGUUCACACAGAGCUCGUUCUAGGUAAGGUAAGUGCUAGUAUCAGUGGUGGAGGUGCUGAGGAAAAAAAAAAAAAGAGGUGUCUUUAAGAGGUGUUUUUGGAAAAUGGCUGAAGACUCAGAUGCUCGAAUUGAGAAAGGCAGGUCAUUCUACCAUGAUCUUAUCUACAAAUACUACUGUUCUCAUAAAGUCUGUAAAUAUGUCCAGUUCUAAUAAACACACAUUUCAGGAAAAAAUAAUUCAAUAAUAUGACCAAAAUGAAAUACAGCCCUGCAUAAAUCUGGUAUAACUGAGUCUGUGAAUUUCUUAAUUUGUGAUUUGUAGAAUAGGAUUUAUGCACCUGCAAUGAAGAUUUUGAGAAGGUUUUGUUGUGUUUGUGAGAGAGAAAGAAACAAAAUACAAGCUUGUAACUCCAAAAACAUUUUCUUGAUAACUUUACUGAAAUAUUCUCUACAAAUACAAAUUCCACUGUCACAGGUGCUCAAUUUUGUUACAAUAAUGUACAAAGUGUCUCAAAUGUACUAUAGAUGUACUGUAUGCAAAUAAAACAAAGGGACAUUAACAACUGAAUAUUCAGGGGAUGGAAACUUAUCACCUUUAAGUAAAAUUGAAUUUUGAAUCUAAAUAUCAUUUGCAUGAUUUGUGUAGAUCCAAAAGAGUUUUUAAAAGUGCAUUAGUUAAAUAGCACAUGCUAAAUAGCACAAGGCAUAUUUUACAUGUUAUUUACAUAAUAAAAAGAUAAGGGAAACAUGUUUUACAUCAAGUGUUGCCAUUUUAUAUGAAAAUAUACAAAAGAUAAUAUUUUUGAGGCACAUGAUAAAAAAAUUACCCCCAAACUUGAGGGAAAUGUAAUAAUGGAGUGAUGGUUAAUGUAUAAAAAAAGCAACUAAAAACUAACUUUAUUGUCUUAUUUGUCUGUCUGCUGAUAUUUAAUUGUGGGUUACAUCGUCACCUUUUUCAAACCUGACCUGAAUAGUUCACAUCCCUGAUAUUACAAAGAACUUAAGUUUUAAUUGGUAAUAACAUUUUUAUUCAGUGAAUAUGGUUUUUAAUUUGUUACUUGACACUAUUUAUAUUAGCCUAUAAUAUACUUUAUACCUUUAUACCUCUUUGUGUGUGUAUUUGUGUGUAAAUGCAUUUUCUUUGCUAGACAUAGAAGGUUUGUGCUCUAAACAUGUAUUUGUAACAGUGUUUAAACUGUAUUCGUAUUGUAUAAAUAAUAAAGAAAUUAUGACUGAAUGUGAUGUGUGUUUAAUAAAUUAUUACAUAUACAGGCUAAUUUAUUUAGUACUAAGUAUGUG